CUUCGGCCCGGGACGGACCAUCGGCCGCCCUGUCGGGGGAGUCCGGACGCACAAAGUUUCCAAAAAGUUCUGCCAGUCGCUGCCGCACCCCACUCGGGGCAGAGCUUAACUUAGCAAAGCAUGGCUCUUCUUCCUGAAUGGACCCAAGCAGACUGUUGCUUGACUUAUUACUGAAGCUGCACAUCACCCAGAAGCAAGAAUUCAUCACUAAAGGGAGCGCCACAUACUUCAAGAAGUAGUUAAACCUGCCUUACCCUCCUCCAACCCUCCAGCACUUGUCAGGUGCUCUGUCUAGUGCCUAGCUCAGAGGAUGCUAAGUGGAGCAACACAAUGGACAGACUUAUUGACAGUAGCGCAGUGUGAUGAGAAUGGUAAGAAGAAGAGAUAUUUAGGAAGACAGAUCUUCAAAUAUGUGGCGCUUUGGGAGUCAUGAUGAUGAGUGUGCAGUAUGUGAACCAGGAAUGGCUUCUUCAGUGUGUCCUUUAGCUCCCAGUGGCUGCCUCUCUCCCUAGAUUCCAAACUCGGUGUUACCAGUAUGCAGUCUCAUUGCUUCCUUAUGGCAGGACACAGAGUAAUUAAAUACAUGUUUUCAUAUUAUAUUUCCUUAUUAUAUUCUACUUUUUUUUUUACCACAGUGUACAUUAUUUUUAUCUUUACUAGAUCAAAAAAGUCAUACCUUCUUUAAAAAUAAAAUGUGAUGGUGAC
ensembl:lincRNA Gm26854 predicted gene, 26854